CAGAAAUAGGCAGCUAAAGUCGAACUAGUCUCUCUUAUAAUUGGUUAAUGGAUUAAAAUUUGUUGAUAAUUUAUUUGGAAAUCUUUCUCUUAGAUGAUGUUUGUACAUAAUAUCUAGUUAUUAAUUUUUUCUCUGAACUAAAAUAUUAAUCUAUAAUGGCUUUCAGACAAGAUUCUUGAUGAGAAUGUGCCAAUUUCUAUUUUUAUUCUUAAAUAUGUACUAUAUAAGUCGUAUGGGGAUAUGUCCAUGGAUGAAGGGGAGUUUGAAAGACGAGAGAGACUCAUUGAUGGCCUAAAUAAUAAGAAUACUCAAAUCAAUGACGCCUUCAGUGGCAGAGAAGAGGGUGGAAACAGGCAAGCUCUUCUGGGUGCUGAAAUGGUGACUGCUUCCACGAAUGUUUGGGGAAUGGAAGAGGACGAGAGAACCAGAGAUUUGAGCUUCAAUGAAAUAAAAGAGCAACAGCUAAUGGCUAUUCAAGAACAAGACAAAGGAUUGGACACAUUACACGAUGUUGUUGUUCAGCAGAAGCACAUGGCAGCAAAUAUUGGCCAGGAGCUGGAUUUGCAGAAUGAAAUAAUUGAUGACAUUGUUGAACAUGCUGAUAAUACCAGAGAACGUCUUAUCAAAGAAACUAGACACGUUGCCAUUGUCGAUCGGAAGUCUGGAGAAUGUUGUUAUUGGGUCAUAAUUGUUCUACUUUUUAUCGCCAUCGUUGUGAUUGCUGUGAUACCCUCUUAGUAGACAAGCCAGAUGGCAUUGGAACUGUGACUGUUGAAGAGAAAGAUUUUUUUGCCGAUAUUAAGGAACAAUUAAAAAUACUGCUCGAAAACCAAAUUACUCAUUUUAGAAUCAGAGAUGGGUCACCUGGAAGGAAAAAUGGAGAUACAUUUAGCUGAAUUAUGUGUCGAUCUUGCAACAGAAGAAUGAGAACUAUGAUGUGGUUAGUGAAAUAACACCAAAUAGCAAGCUUUCGCAUGGUUGAACACGCGGAGAUCUUCUGGUUGUUCUUAGCUGUUGAUAUGGACACACUUUUAGCUGAACAGCCUUCAGAUACAUAGGAUUGUUUUCCAGUGAAGAUGGCAUGGAUGCAUUACUUCUGAAGAUCUUUUUUGGAAACUAGAUGCAUUGCAAUCUUUCAUCCGGGACUUGCAUUGACCUGAUGAAGUUUUUGCCAAACAUUUGGAACAAAGAUUGAAAUUCAUGGCAUGUGAUAUGUUGGUGUCUUGUAUUAACAGGCAUGGAAAUUCAGAAAAUGUGGAAUUGCUUAAGGAAUUCCUUCGUUAAAGAGUUGAGGGUCCAAACAGAGACUCAUUCUGGUGAUGGUGGCAGACGUAGGAAGUAAAGCCGUACUUUUCGGAUCUGCUUUUUCUGAUGCCAACAGUUUUAGCAUCGAAAACAAUGCUCUCAGAGGUACCCAACAUAGCCUCAUCUGUACAAGAUGUGGUUCAGGUUUCACAAGCAUUCGUUAAAAUUGAUUGUAAAAAAAAUUUAUAUAAUAAAACCUUUGUUUUUCUAUGAA